rnacentral:sRNA from 1 species
GCCGGGCAUGGUGGCUCAUGCCUGUAAUCCCAGCACUUUGGGAGGCUGAGGUGGGUGGAUCACUUGAGGUCAGGAGUUUGAGACCAGCCUGACCAACAUGGUGAAACCCUGUCUCUA